rnacentral:lncRNA from 1 species
AAUAACUUGUUUUCAUCAUUUUAUCCUGAGGUGAUGUCUAUUCUUAUUGAUAAGUUAUGUUUCUUGGAUGUAGCAGCAAGAUUGAUCCUGUUUUCUAAUUCAGUCUUUUAGUUUGUGCCUUUUUACUAGGAAGUUAAGACCACUAAUAUGGAAAGUUAACAAUAAAUACUAUUGAUUAUGUUAUUUUAUUGCUGUGUGGGAUUUUCAUCCCUCUUUAUUCACUGGUCCAGGAUUAUUUAUUCCCUGUUUAGUCUUGGAUGCUAUUAACCUUAUCAGACUGAAGUUUUCUUCGUAUUGCCUUCUCUAAAACAGGAUUUGCAUAUAGAUUCUGCUUAAUGUACUGUUAUCUUAGAAUGUUUUUCUUUCUUCAUCAAUUGUGACUGAAAGAUUUUUGAGGAUAUGGUCUUAGCUAGCAUCUAUGGUCCCUUAGAGUUUGUCAAACACUGCCAAGGCCUUUCUGCUUUCACAGUUACCCCCCAGAGAUGGUGUCUCUAGCUGCAUAUGUAUCAGAAGAUGGCCUAGUCGGCCAUCAGUGGAAAGAGAGGCCCAUUGGUCGUGCAAACUUUAUAUGCCUCAGUACAGGGGAAUGCCAGGGCCAAGAAGUGGGAGUGGGUGGGGAGGGGAGGGGAGUGAGGGCAUGGGGGACUUUUGGGAUAGCAUUGGAAAUGUAAAUGAAGAAAAUACCUAAUUUUAAAAAAAAAAGAAGUCAGGUGCUAUUCUGAUGGGUCUGCUUUAUAUGUUAUUCAUCCUUUUUUUUUCUUGCAGCUUUUAAUAUUUUUCCUUUGUUCUGUAAGUGGAGUAUUUUGAUUAUGAAAUAUUAUAGGCAAUUUCUUUUCUGGUUCAGUUAUUCAGCAUUUUCUAUGCUUCUUGUACUUUUGAUAGACACUUAACUUCUUUAGAUUGGCGAAAUUUCCUUCUAUUGUUUCGUUGAAAAUAUUUCCUGUGCCUUUGACCUGGAUUCUUCUCCUCCCUGUAUUAUUAUUAUUUUUUAUUCUUAAAUUCAUGGUCAUAGUGUCCCAAAUUUCCUGGAUGUUUUGUGCCUGAAUUUUUUUAGGUUUAGUGUUUUCUUUGACUGUAGUGUCAACUUUGUUACCUUGUUUUGAACACCUGAGACUUUCUUUUCCAUCUCUUUCCAUCUUUUGGUUAAGAAAGAAAAAAAUCUGGGUUUUUGUUUGUUUGUUUGAUUGAUUGAUUGAUUGAUUGAUUGAUUUCUCAAAUGUAUUCCAGUUUUAUUUCAUUUUGUGUUUUAAUGUUAUUUCUUUACUAAAUUCUACUAUCAUGUCAAAUUAUUAUUUCAUUCAAAGGUGGUUUUUACAGACUUUUUUAUUUUGAGAAAGCUUUCUUUUUUUUAAUUAGAUAUUUUCUUUACAUACAUUUCAAAUUUCAAAUGCUAUCCCGAAAGUUCCCUAUACCCUCCCCCCCACCCUGCUCCCCUACCCACCCACUCCUGCUUCUUGGCCCUGGCAUUCCCCUGUACUGGGGCAUAUAAAGUUUGCAAUACCAAGGGGCCUAUUCAUAUCGUCUUUAAGAUCUUUCUACAUAUUCAUAAUUGCUGUUUCAAAGUCCUGGUCUUAUGCUUCAGCUAUAUUGUAUUAGGUUAUUUGCUAAAAACUAAGAGAUAGCAGAUCUUUGUAGCUGAAAAUAAGUGCACCCAUUUUGAAGGGUUCAUUAAUUGCAGGUGUUGAGUGGGGUGCUCUGGCUUGAAUUGUGAAUAUUUCAAGGGACCACAUAUUGAAGGCAUGUUGAGUGGGCUAUGGCAUCACUAGGAGGUUGUAGAAACAUUAAGGGGUGAAGCUUAUAGAAGGAAGUUAGAUUGUAUGGCCUGUGUCCUGGAAGGGAAUUUGGCAGCCUGACUUCUGCUUUUCUUGUUCUUUGCAUUCUCCUGCUGUGAGGUGAGCUGGCAUCCUAUGCAGUACACAGCAUAAAUCUAAAACUACAGAGGGCAAGUGACUAUGGACUGAAACUUCUAAGGCCAUGAGCCAAAAUCAAUAUUUCCUCUUUUAAGUUAUCAUCACAGGUAUUAUGGCACAAUAACAGAACUCUAACUCAGC